rnacentral:rRNA from 1 species
AUGCAAGUCGAACGAGACCUUCGGGUCUAGUGGCGCACGGGUGCGUAACGCGUGGGAAUCUGCCCUUAGGUACGGAAUAACUCAGAGAAAUUUGUGCUAAUACCGUAUGAUGUCGAAAGACCAAAGAUUUAUCGCCUAAGGAUGAGCCCGCGUAAGAUUAGCUUGUUGGUGAGGUAAAAGCUCACCAAGGCGACGAUCUUUAGCUGGUCUGAGAGGAUGAUCAGCCACACUGGGACUGAGACACGGCCCAGACUCCCACGGGAGGCAGCAGUGGGGAAUAUUGGACAAUGGGCGAAAGCCUGAUCCAGCAAUGCCGCGUGAGUGAUGAAGGCCUUAGGGUUGUAAAGCUCUUUUACCAGGGAUGAUAAUGACAGUACCUGGAGAAUAAGCUCCGGCUAACUCCGUGCCAGCAGCCGCGGUAAUACGGAGGGAGCUAGCGUUGUUCGGAAUUACUGGGCGUAAAGAGUACGUAGGCGGUGAUUCAAGUCAGAGGUGAAAGCCUGGAGCUCAACUCCAGAACUGCCUUUGAAACUAGAUCGCUAGAAUUGUGGAGAGGUUAGUGGAAUUCCGAGUGUAGAGGUGAAAUUCGUAGAUAUUCGGAAGAACACCAGUGGCGAAGGCGACUAACUGGACACAUAUUGACGCUGAGGUACGAAAGCGUGGGGAGCAAACAGGAUUAGAUACCCUGGUAGUCCACGCCGUAAACGAUGAUAACUAGCUGUUCGGGGUCUACGAUCCUGAGUGGCGCAGCUAACGCAUUAAGUUAUCCGCCUGGGGAGUACGGUCGCAAGAUUAAAACUCAAAGGAAUUGACGGGGGCCUGCACAAGCGGUGGAGCAUGUGGUUUAAUUCGAAGCAACGCGCAGAACCUUACCAGCGUUUGACAUCCUAAUCGCGGUUUUCAGAGAUGAUUACCUUCAGUUCGGCUGGAUUAGUGACAGGUGCUGCAUGGCUGU